rnacentral:rRNA from 1 species
UACGUAGGGGGCAAGCGUUGUCCGGAAUCAUUGGGCGUAAAGAGCGUGUAGGCGGCCCGAUAAGUCCGCUGUGAAAGUCCAGGGCUCAACCCUGGAAUGCCAGUGGAAACUGUCGGGCUGGAGUCCGGAAGAGGCGAGUGGAAUUCCUGGUGUAGCGGUGGAAUGCGCAGAUAUCAGGAGGAACACCAAUAGCGAAGGCAGCUCGCUGGGACGGUACUGACGCUAAGGCGCGAAAGCGUGGGGAGCAAACAGG